GGGGGAACGUCCGGAAACGGGCGCUAAUACCGCAUACGUCCUGAGGGAGAAAGUGGGGGAUCUUCGGACCUCACGCUAUCAGAUGAGCCUAGGUCGGAUUAGCUAGUUGGUGGGGUAAAGGCCUACCAAGGCGACGAUCCGUAACUGGUCUGAGAGGAUGAUCAGUCACACUGGAACUGAGACACGGUCCAGACUCCUACGGGAGGCAGCAGUGGGGAAUAUUGGACAAUGGGCGAAAGCCUGAUCCAGCCAUGCCGCGUGUGUGAAGAAGGUCUUCGGAUUGUAAAGCACUUUAAGUUGGGAGGAAGGGCAGUAAGUUAAUACCUUGCUGUUUUGACGUUACCAACAGAAUAAGCACCGGCUAACUUCGUGCCAGCAGCCGCGGUAAUACGAAGGGUGCAAGCGUUAAUCGGAAUUACUGGGCGUAAAGCGCGCGUAGGUGGUUCAGCAAGUUGGAUGUGAAAUCCCCGGGCUCAACCUGGGAACUGCAUCCAAAACUACUGAGCUAGAGUACGGUAGAGGGUGGUGGAAUUUCCUGUGUAGCGGUGAAAUGCGUAGAUAUAGGAAGGAACACCAGUG
rnacentral:rRNA from 1 species